GAUGAACGCUGGCGGCGUGCCUAAUACAUGCAAGUCGAGCGAACGGACGAGAAGCUUGCUUCUCUGAUGUUAGCGGCGGACGGGUGAGUAACACGUGGAUAACCUACCUAUAAGACUGGGAUAACUUCGGGAAACCGGAGCUAAUACCGUAUGAUAUUUUGAACCGCAUGGUUCAAAAGUGAAAGACGGUCUUGCUGUCACUUAUAGAUGGAUCCGCGCUGCAUUAGCUAGUUGGUAAGGUAACGGCUUACCAAGGCAACGAUGCAUAGCCGACCUGAGAGGGUGAUCGGCCACACUGGAACUGAGACACGGUCCAGACUCCUACGGGAGGCAGCAGUAGGGAAUCUUCCGCAAUGGGCGAAAGCCUGACGGAGCAACGCCGCGUGAGUGAUGAAGGUCUUCGGAUCGUAAAACUCUGUUAUUAGUGAAGAACAUAUGUGUAAGUAACUGUGCACAUCUUGACGGUACCUAAUCAGAAAGCCACGGCUAACUACGUG
rnacentral:rRNA from 1 species